rnacentral:rRNA from 1 species
CGCGGCCUAUCAGCUUGUUGGAGGGGUAACGGCCCACCAAGGCAUCGACGGGUAGCUGGUCUGAGAGGAUGAUCAGCCACACUGGAACUGAGACACGGUCCAGACUCCUACGGGGGGCAGCAGUGGGGAAUCUUGCACAAUGGGCGCAAGCCAGAUGCAGCGAUGCCGCGUGCGGGAAGAAGGCCCUAGGGUUGUAGACCGCUUUCAGGAGGGAAGAAAAUGACGGUACCUCCAGAAGAAGGUGCGGCCAACUACGUGCCAGCAGCCGCGGUGACACGUAGGCACCAAGCGUUAUCCGGAUUUAUUGGGCGUAAAGAGCUCGUAGGCGGUUUGGUAAGCCGGGUGUGAAAACUCUGGGCUCAACCCAGAGAGGCCACCCGAUACUGCUAUGACUAGAGUACGGUAGGGGAGCGGGGAAUUCCUGGUGUAGCGGUGAAAUGCGCAGAUAUCAGGAGGAACACCAGCGGCGAAGGCGCCGCUCUGGGCCGUAACUGACGCUGAGGAGCGAAAGCAUGGGUAGCAAACAGGAUUAGAUACCCUGGUAGUCCUUGCCGUAAACGUUGGGCACUAGGUGUGGGUCUCAACCAACGAGAUCCGCGCCGUCGCUAACGCAUUAAGUCCCCCGCCUGGGGAGUACGG